AGUCAUAUGCUUGUCUCAAAGAUUAAGCCAUGCAUGUCUCAGUACAAGCCAAAUUAAGGUGAAACCGCGAAAGGCUCAUUAAAUCAGUUAUGGUUCCUUAGAUCGUACCCACUUUUACUUGGAUAACUGUGGUAAUUCUAGAGCUAAUACAUGCAAAUAGAGUUUCGACCGAAAACGGAAGAAACGCUUUUAUUAGAUCAAAACCAAUCGGCGGCGAGUUUACUCGUCGUCGUACAAUUUGGUGACUCUGAAUAACUUUAAGCUGAUCGCACGGUCUAGCACCGGCGACGCAUCUUUCAAAUGUCUGCCUUAUCAACUGUCGAUGGUAGGUUCUGCGCCUACCAUGGUUGUAACGGGUAACGGGGAAUCAGGGUUCGAUUCCGGAGAGGGAGCCUGAGAAACGGCUACCACAUCCAAGGAAGGCAGCAGGCGCGCAAAUUACCCACUCCCGGCACGGGGAGGUAGUGACGAAAAAUAACGAUACGGGACUCAUCCGAGGCCCCGUAAUCGGAAUGAGUACACUUUAAAUCCUUUAACGAGGAUCAAUUGGAGGGCAAGUCUGGUGCCAGCAGCCGCGGUAAUUCCAGCUCCAAUAGCGUAUAUUAAAGUUGUUGCGGUUAAAAAGCUCGUAGUCGAAUUUGUGUCCCACGCCGCCGGUUCAUCGUUCGCGGUGUUAACUGGCGUGCCGCGGGACGUCCUGCCGGUGGGCUUAGCUCUUUACGGGGCGGCCCAAAUCAAUCCCGCCGCGGUGCUCUUCACUGAGUGUCGAGGUGGGCCGGCACGUUUACUUUGAACAAAUUAGAGUGCUUAAAGCAGGCUAAAAUUUUGCCUGAAUAUUGUGUGCAUGGAAUAAUGGAAUAGGACCUCGGUUCUAUUUUGUUGGUUUUCGGAACCCCGAGGUAAUGAUUAAUAGGAACGGAUGGGGGCAUUCGUAUUGCGACGUUAGAGGUGAAAUUCUUGGAUCGUCGCAAGACGGACAGAAGCGAAAGCAUUUGCCAAAAACGUUUUCAUUGAUCAAGAACGAAAGUUAGAGGCUCGAAGGCGAUCAGAUACCGCCCUAGUUCUAACCAUAAACGAUGCCAGCUAGCGAUCCGCCGACGUUCCUCCGAUGACUCGGCGGGCAGCUUCCGGGAAACCAAAGCUUUUGGGUUCCGGGGGAAGUAUGGUUGCAAAGCUGAAACUUAAAGGAAUUGACGGAAGGGCACCACCAGGAGUGGAGCCUGCGGCUUAAUUUGACUCAACACGGGAAACCUCACCAGGCCCGGACACCGGAAGGAUUGACAGAUUGAGAGCUCUUUCUUGAUUCGGUGGGUGGUGGUGCAUGGCCGUUCUUAGUUGGUGGAGCGAUUUGUCUGGUUAAUUCCGAUAACGAACGAGACUCUAGCCUGUUAACUAGGCGUAUUAGACAUCUUAAAGGCCCGCUUAGUCCGGGGUUCGCCUCGUGGCUAGCGCGGUUUUUACUGUCUACGUAUAUUAUAUUCUUCUUAGAGGGACAGGCGGCUUCUAGCCGCACGAGAUUGAGCAAUAACAGGUCUGUGAUGCCCUUAGAUGUUCUGGGCCGCACGCGCGCUACACUGAAGGAAUCAGCGUGUCCUCCCUGGCCGAGCGGUCCGGGUAACCCGCUGAACCUCCUUCGUGCUAGGGAUUGGGGCUUGCAAUUGUUCCCCAUGAACGAGGAAUUCCCAGUAAGCGCGAGUCAUAAGCUCGCGUUGAUUACGUCCCUGCCCUUUGUACACACCGCCCGUCGCUACUACCGAUUGAAUGAUUUAGUGAGGUCUUCGGACCGGUACGCGGUGGCGUUUCGACGUUGCCGAUGUUGCUGGGAAGAUGACCAAACUUGAUCAUUUAGAGGAAGUAAAA
rnacentral:rRNA from 1 species